rnacentral:tRNA from 1 species
CUGAUGCUGUAAGGUUAAAGCAUCUGCCUGGAAUGCAGGAGACCCAGGUUCAAUCCCUGGGUCAGA